UACGUAGGUGGCAAGCGUUGUCCGGAGUUAUUGGGCGUAAAGCGCGCGCAGGCGGUUGGAUAAGUCCAUGGUGAAAGCGCCUGGCUCAACUAGGCGAGUGCCGUGGGGACUGUUCAGCUGGAGUGGAGCAGAGGCGAGUGGAAUUCCGGGUGUAGUGGUGAAAUGCGCAGAUAUCGGGAAGAACACCCGUGGCGAAGGCGGCUGCUCUGGGAGCGGUACUGACGCUGAGACGCGAAAGCGUGGGGAGCGAACGAGGA
rnacentral:rRNA from 1 species